ensembl:snoRNA SNORA72 Small nucleolar RNA SNORA72
AUGUGAAUAUUCUCACUGUUCUGAUUUUGUCAUAAUCAGGACAGGCCAAACUUUUACAUAAUAAUAAGAUCAUGCAUGUGUCCCCAGACCUAGUUCUUUACCUACCUAGAUCUGGUCUUAGAAAUGCUGGCGAUUUUU